rnacentral:rRNA from 1 species
CCUGGUUGAUCCUGCAGUAGUCAUAUGCUUGUCUCAAAGUUUAAGCCAUGCAUGUGUAGUAUGAACGAAUUCAGACUGUGUAACUGCGAAUGGCUCAUUUAAUCAGUUAUAGUUUGUUUGAUGGUAAAUUACUACCGGAUACUAGUAAACUGAUCUAUAGAUGACACACAUAACACUGGAAGGGAUGAAUUUAUUAGAUAAAUGGUCGACGCGGGAUCUGCAUGUUGCUCUGAUGAUUGAUGAUAGCUCGACGGAUCGCAUGUCGUUAGUGCUGGCGACGCAUCAUUCAAAUUUCUUGCCUAUCAACUUUCGAUGGAAGGAUAGUGGCCUACCACAGUGCUAACGGGUGUCGGAGAAUUAGAGUUUGAUUCUGGAGAGGGAGACUGAGAAACGGCUACAACAUCAAGGAAGGCAGCAGGCGUGCAAAUUACCCAAUCCUGUCACGGGGAGGUAGUGACAUUAAAUAACAAUACCGGGCUUAUUGAGUCUGGUAAUUGGAGUGAGUACAAUCUAAAUCCAUUAACGAGGAUCCAUUAGAGGGCAAGUCUGGUGCCAACAGCCGCGGUAAUUCCAGUUCCAAUAGCGUAUAUUUAUGUUGUUGCAGUUAAAGAGCUCGUAGUUGAACCUUAGGAUGGGUCGGGUCGUUUGGUGAGAAUCGGUCGGCUUGUUCUUGUGGCAGUACGCUCUGCCUUAAUGGACGGGAGUCUAGGCUAUAUUUAAUAAACUAAAUAUUUUUUAUAAUUUCCAUCAUUAAACUAUCACCCAACCAACUCGUCACCCCAAUAAAAUAUACAUACACACUUUUAUAAAAUAUAUGCCCCUAAAUCUCCUCCCCGGUCUGUAUUGAGAUUGAUGCUCAAGCAUCUAAGAUCUGUUACUUAAGAUGGUCAUCAUAGAUGAUCCUAUUGUGUUGGCACUCGGGAUCGGAGUAAUGAAUAACAGGGACAGUCGGGGCAUUCGUAUUUCAUAGUAGAGUGACUUCUUGGAUUUUGAAAGACGAAACUGCGAAGUCAUUUGCCAAGGAUGUUUCAUUAAUCAAGAACGGAAGUUGGGGGCUCGAAGACGAACAGAUACCGUCCUAGUCUCAACCAUAAACUAUGCCGACCAGGGAUCAGUGGAUGUUGCUUUUAGGAGUCCGCUGGCAACUUAUGAGAAAUCAAAUUUUUGGUUCCGGGGGGAGUAUUGUCGCAAGGCUGAAACUUGAAGGGAUUGACGGAAGGGCACCACUAGGAGUGGAGCCUGCGGCAUAAUUUGAUUCAAGAUGGGGAAACUUACCAGGGUCAGACAUAGUAAGGAUUCACAGAAUGAGACCUCUUUCUUGAUUCUAUGAGUGGUGUUGCAUGGCCGUUCUUAGUAGGUGGAGCGAUUUGUCUUGAUAAUUCCGUUAACGAACGAGACAUAAGCCUGCUAACUAGCUAGGGCUCCCAUACAACGGGACGACUUCUAGGGGCUAAUGCAGUUUAAGAGCAAAGGAAAAUUAUUGAGGAUAAAGGUCUGGAUGCCUUAGAUUUUGGGCCACAAACGCGCGCUAACAACUAGAUAGUAUAACGAAGUAUACACACUUGGCGACAGCAGGGUAUCUUGAAAUAUCAUAGGAUGGGAUAGACGAUCAUGUGAGUCAACGAGUAAUUCAUAGUAAGCGCGAGUCAUAAGCUCGCGUUGAAUACGUCACUGCCCUUUGUACACACCGACCGUCGCUCCUACCGACUGAAUGAUCCGGUGAAGUAUUCAGAUCACGGCGACGUGGGUGGUUCACCGUCUGCGACAUUCGUGCGAGAGUCAUAACUUUAUUUAAGGAAGGCGAGUCGC